rnacentral:tRNA from 1 species
UAAGAGUGCCAGAUAAAAUGGGUUUGAUUUAGGAUUAAAUGAUGGCUGUUUUUUGCCCUCUUGC